ACCCACGUCUGCCGCCACUACCCAGCCAACCACCGAACACCACUGAACCACCACCACGACGACACCACCAAUCCUCACCUGCGCAGCACCACCACGACCCACUCUCGCUCACCUCACGCUGUACCUUCCCUUUCUCUGUCGUUGCUGCCACCGCAGCACAUUUCCGGCGAAGCAGCCACGGUGUAACCACGCCGCAACAGCCCCUCCGCCACCCAGCCACCUUUCUUUCUCUCGCAGCACCUUUCUCUCUCCUCGACCCACCUGAACGAACCACCUUUGUCACUCCGGCGAACCACCUUUGUCACUCCGGCGAACCACCCUUACACCUUCAAACUCGCCGCUGCAGCCUCCAUUUCCGGCGAAGCUUCUUGUCGCCCUUCCUCUGUUUCUGCCGCAAGAUUAAGGAAAAAGGGAUAUUACAAGCCUCCCCCGACUAUCAAAGUUACUAAGCAGGAUUUGAGGUAAUGACGGGGAUGACGGAAUGGCGUAGCAGUGAGGAAUAAUUACUACUUAAAUUAUGCAGACUUUUAUUAAUAUGUAUUCUAAGCUUGAGAACAUUAGUUUAUGAACCUUAAUUAUG